rnacentral:siRNA from 1 species
UCCAGUGUAAGAUAUAUUAAUUAU